GUGAAUCAUCGAAUCUUUGAACGCACAUUGCGCCCAUUAGUAUUCUAAUGGGCAUGCCUGUUCGAGCGUCAUUUCAACCCUCAAGCCCUUAGUUGCUUGGUGUUGGGAGCUUAUCCUGCCGCAAGGCGGACAACUCCUUAAAUUUAUUGGCGGAGUCGCGGUAAUCCCGAGCGUAGUAAAUUCUUUUUUUUCCCCUCGCUUUAGGUGUUAACGCUGGCUUUCUAGCCGUUAAACCCCCUAAUCUUUUAGUGGUUGACCUCGGAUCAGGUAGGACUACCCGCUGAACUUAAGCAUAUCAAU
rnacentral:misc_RNA from 1 species